AUGGGGAUGGAGGACAGUUCAUUGGGCUUUGCCUGCAUUCAGGGAUCGAGCCUUUAUACAUGGUCAAGGAAGAUGGAUACAGCUGAAGCAGCGGAAUGGCUACAAUACAGGGUCAUCGAGCUGGAGAAAACUAUACCUGUUGCCAAUCCCGAUGACAAAUGGUUGGCUUUGCGGAGGGUGUGGGUGUCGUCCUUGUUAGCUCAGGUGUUGGCUUAUUUACCAUCAAGCUCAAUUCUGGGAACGUUAAGAAGGUUGACGAGUCUGGAAUCUCCUUUACCGUCCUACCCUACAUGA
rnacentral:rRNA from 1 species